AUUGAACGCUGGCGGCAUGCCUUACACAUGCAAGUCGAACGGUAACAGGGAGCUUGCUCCGCUGACGAGUGGCGAACGGGUGAGUAAUGCAUCGGAACGUACCGUGUAAUGGGGGAUAACGUAGCGAAAGUUACGCUAAUACCGCAUACGCCCUGAGGGGGAAAGUGGGGGACCGCAAGGCCUCACGUUAUACGAGCGGCCGAUGUCGGAUUAGCUAGUUGGUGGGGUAAAGGCCUACCAAGGCGACGAGCCGUGGCGGGUCUGAGAGGAUGAUCCGCCACACUGGGACUGAGCCACGGCCCAGACUCCUACGGGAGGCAGGAGUGGGGAAUUUUGGACAAUGGGGGAAACCCUGAUCCAGCCAUGCCGCGUGAGUGAAGAAGGCCUUCGGGUUGUAAAGCUCUUUCAGGUGGAAAGAAAUCUCGUGGGUGAAUACCCUGCGAGGAUGACGGUACCAUCAGAAGAAGCACCGGCUAACUACGUGCCAGCCGCCGCGGUAAAAC
rnacentral:rRNA from 1 species